rnacentral:lncRNA from 1 species
AAUCCACUAAUAACAACAAUCAACAAACACCACGAAGAGAAGUUGGCGGAAACAAAAAAGAUGACUAGAAAAUGGUACAGAUCUAUGUUUUUAUUGAUUAGAGCAAAAUUCACCAUUCAGUGCUAGGCUAAGUGGUGAUAAUAUUCUUUCUCUGAAAGGAGUCGAUACUCGAUAGUUCUAUUCAGAAGUGUAAAAGGUAAGACGUUACAAUCACGGGGCUGUAGUUAAUAUGCUUUACGUACGUAUGUAUAUAUGGUAGU